rnacentral:rRNA from 1 species
UUACAAGUACCCGUGAGGGAAAGUUGCAAAGCACUUUGAAGAGAGAGUUAAAGAGGACGUGAAACCGAUGAGGUGGAAACGGACAGAGCUGGCGUAUCUGGCCUGCAUUCAGCCGUGCCCCGCUGGCGUCAGGGAUGCCGCUCUCCAGAUUGGGACGGUGGCCUGUCUGCCGGCGGGUUUGUGGUGCAUUUGCAGGUGGAGUGCGCCGAGGCGCUCGGUGCAGCGGCAUGAGCUUGGCUUUGAGGCCAGCCCCUCACGGGGUCUGGUACCCGGGCCAGGGGAGUGCUGUUUGUGCUGGGCGACAGCCAUGGGCAAUGGACUCGGGCUCGUGUGGGUGCCGAGCUGGAGGUCGGCGUCGGUCGCUUGCGACACGUGCCGGCACUCAGUUCGGUCCUGCUCGAGCUCACAUCUGCCCGUCCUCGGUGUAAAAGCCGGUCAUCUGUCCGACCCGUCUUGAAACACGGACCAAGGAGUUUAGCGUGUGCGCGAGUCAUUGGGCGUUGAAAACCCAAAGGCGUAAUGAAAGUGAAGGUCUCCCUUGCGGAGCUGACGUGUGAUCCUGGGCACCGCGGUGCGCCGGGCGCAACAUGGUCCCGUCCCGAUUGCUUGCAAUGGGGCGGAGACAGAGCGUACGCGCUGAGACCCGAAAGAUGGUGAACUAUUCCUGAGCAGGAUGAAGCCAGAGGAAACUCUGGUGGAAGUCCGAAGCGAUUCUGACGUGCAAAUCGAUCGUCUGACUUGUGUAUAUACGCGACUCGAUCUAAGGCCGUGGUC